rnacentral:rRNA from 1 species
UACAGAGGGUGCAAGCGUUGUUCGGAAUUAUUGGGCGUAAAGCGCGUGUAGGCGGCUUUGCAAGUCGGAUGUGAAAGCCCUCGGCUCAACCUGGGAAUUGCGCUUGAAACUAGCGAGCUUGAGUGUGGCAGAGGGGGGGUGGAAUUCCACGUGUAGCAGUGAAAUGCGUAGAGAUGUGGAGGAACACCGAUGGCGAAGGCAGCCCCCUGGGUCAACACUGAC